CCCUACGGGAGGCAGCAGUGAGGAAUAUUGGUCAAUGAGCGCGAGCCUGAACCAGCCAAGUCGCGUGAGGGAAGACGGUCCUAUGGAUUGUAAACCUCUUUUGUCUUGGAGCAACCGACGCCACGUGUGGCGUUCCGAGAGUACCCGAAGAAAAAGCAUCGGCUAACUCCGUGCCAGCAGCCGCGGUAAUACGGAGGAUGCGAGCGUUAUCCUGAUUUAUUGGGUUUAAAGGGUGCGCAGGCGGAAGAUCAAGUCAGCGGUAAAAUUGAGAGGCCCAACCUCUUCGAGCCGUUGAAACUGGUUUU
rnacentral:rRNA from 1 species